CUGAGGUGUGGAGGGACGGGCUUGCUUACCCCGGACGAUGCUGACAGUGUGGGCCCAGCCCGGUCCCACAGCCACCAGGAGGAGGCUCCUGAGUGGGCAGGCGCCGAGGUGCAGCGCAGAGAACGCCUGGGACCCUGGCAUAGACUCCUCAGGAAGGAAACAGAGAAAGGUCCACAGAGACUCAAGCAGCACAGAAGAAGGUCACCCACAAGUUAAAAAUAGAUGUUUGUGCUCUAUCGUCCCAGCGUGCUAAACAUCCAGCUCGCUCACACGCACGGCCUGACGUGAGCCCGGCCUCCUUCAGCAUUGGGCUAAGCGAGAGAGGCACCUGCCCCUCUCCCGACAAUAGCAGGCUCGGCAGCUAUUCUUCAAUGUACUUGACACCCCUCCGUGAGGAUUAAGCUACACUCUGUCGACACUGGGUACACUGGCCCAUACGGUCUAGUUUACCUGCUGAUAAUGCCUUGGAAAGACCACCAGGGGGCCCCACACCAUUUUCGGCUUCAUAGGGAUGUGAAUUUCCCUUUGAUGACAAAGGUAAUGGGGAAAUAAAACAAGGAUCCAAAACA